UAGGAAUCAAAGAUUGAAUCACCAAAAGAUUUGGAGUCUGGUGAAGGCUGCUUUCUCUUUCAUAGGUGAUUCUGUUUCCGUCUCUUGGGGCUCUCUUAUAGGGUACUAAUUCUAUUCAUGAUGAUUCUGAUCUCAUGGUCUUAUCACCCCCUAAAGGCUUCAGCUCCAAAUGCCAUCUGAUUUCAAAACAUGAAUUUGGGGGUCAUAAAUAUCCAGUCAGUUGCACCAAUGGUUGGCUGGAGAACCGCUUGGGGACAGUCUUUCCUUAGCCCUGGUAAGGUAUGUAAAGGGAUUGGAGGCUUUUAACUGUGGGUCUACUGGGCUCCCUUCCAAACUCCCGAGGGCUUGUUUUCUAUAAAAACAUGGCCCUUGGCAGCUGUGUUAAGGGUCUAAUCCCUUACUAUGUUCCUCUAACUACGUUAAAGUGUAUAUGUGGUGAGCAAAGAUACCUGUCUGUGAUAGAGGCUAAUUCAUAGGAUUAGGUACAUUCUGUGAGUUCUGAGUUACAUAUGCUGGAAUAAACUUCUCUUUAAAUAAAAAAUUUUGUUUUGCUCAUAUAGAUUUUAGACAAAAAUAUUAAGUUUCAGAACCAUGUAAUUUGUCAGGCUUCUAAGAAUCCAAGACUAUGCUGGGUUUUUUCAAAAAUUAAUGUGUUUGUUAAAAACUAUUUA
rnacentral:lncRNA from 1 species